UACGUAGGGUGCGAGCGUUGUUCGGAAUCAUUGGGCGUAAAGCGUGAGUAGGUGGUUUGCUAAGUCGGGGUGUGAAAUCCCUGGGCUCAACCCAGGAAGUGCAUUCGAAACUAGCUUGCUUGAAGAUGGUAGAGGAAGGUGGAAUUCCAAGUGUAGAGGUGAAAUUCGUAGAUAUUUGGAGGAAUACCGGCGGCGAAGGCGGCCUCUGGCCAUUCUUGACACUGAGACACGAAAGCGUGGGUAGCAAACAGG
rnacentral:rRNA from 1 species